UGAGCUGUCAAACACAACUAACUCCUGCAUGCUGCAAUGGAAAGGGGGAACGUAUUAGACCUGUCUGUUCCCAAAUAAAAAGGUUUAAGAUAAACGUUAUCUCGCUGAUACACUCAGAACUUUUUUUUUGGGUGUUGGGACACGCAGCAAAGGGCCGCAGGUCGGAUUCAAACCCGGGCUGCUGCCAAGGACUCAGACUACAUGGGGCGCACGCUCUUACUGGGUGAGCUAGAGGUCGCCCCCACUCAGAACUUCUUAAGUACUGUAAGGUUUUAGAUUAGAUUCAACUUUAUUGUCAUUGCAGAGAGUACAGGUACUGAGACAACGAAAUGCAGUUUAGCAUCUAACCAGAAGUG